CCGCCCUAUGGGGGUCCCGAACGCGUGGAGGACCCCAAAACUGCCCUACGGUGGGGGGGAGGGACCCCAAAAAUGCCCGAUGGGGGGGGGGAGGGACCCCAAAAUUGCUCUAUGGGGGGAGAGGGACCCCAAAACUACCCUACGGGGGGGGGAGGGACCCCAAAAGGGGGAGGGGGGAAGGAGCCCAAAUUUCCCCCCCCCCCUUUUCCCCCCAGGCUGUGAUGACGUCGGGGUCCCUGUGAAUGUGGAGGCGCGGAACUUCGAAGGUCAGACCCCGCUGCACUGCGCUGCCCUGGCCCACACCGCAGCCCUGCAGGGGGGGGAACCCCAAAAUCCCACCCCCCAAACCCGACUGCGCUGCGUCCAAAUCCUUCUGAGUAUGGGGGCCGACCCCGCCAGCCAGGACUCCAAGAGCAGUCUGACCCCACUGCACAUCGCCGUGCGGGGGGGAACCUCAGCCUGGCUCAGCUCCUCCUGCGCCACCCCGGGGGGGGGGCACGCCUGGUCAACAUGCAGGUGCCUAUGGGGCGGCUGUGGGGCGGCUGUGGGGCGGCUGUGGGGCGGUUAUGGGGUCUGGAGGGGGUUUGUGGGGCUCUGCGGGUUGGUUUGGGCACCGAGGAGGACUGUGGGGUUUCCAUCUAUGGGGGGGCUGUGGGGAGGAUAUGGGGCAGCUAUGGGGCAUCUAUGGGGUGGCCAUGGGGCGGCUGUGGGCCGGUUAUGGGGUCUGUAGGGGAUUUGUGGGGCUCUGCGGGUUGGUUUGGGCACCAAGGAGGACUGUGGGGUUUCCAUCUAUGGGGUGUCUGUGGGGCAGGGGCUGUGGGGUGAGAGCUAUGGGGUGGCUGUGGGGCGGUUAUGGGGCAUCUAUGGGGCGGCUGUGGGGCUGUUAUGGGGUCUGGAGGGGAUUUGUGGGGCUCUGCGGGUUGGUUUGGGCACCGAGGAGGACUGUGGGGUUUCCAUCUAUGGGGGGGCUGUGGGGAGGAUAU
rnacentral:lncRNA from 7 species